UGGGGAAUCUUGGACAAUGGGGGCAACCCUGAUCCAGCCAUGCCGCGUGAGUGAUGAAGGCCUUAGGGUCGUAAAGCUCUUUCGCCUGUGAAGAUAAUGACGGUAGCAGGUAAAGAAACCCCGGCUAACUCCGUGCCAGCAGCCGCGGUAAUACGGAGGGGGUUAGCGUUGUUCGGAAUUACUGGGCGUAAAGCGCACGUAGGCGGACCAGAAAGUUGGGGGUGAAAUCCCGGGGGCUCAACCCCGGAACUGCCUCCAAAACUAUUGGUCUAGAGUUCGAGAGAGGUGAGUGGAAUUCCAAGUGUAGAGGUGAAAUUCGUAGAUAUUUGGAGGAACACCAGUGGCGAAGGCGGCUCACUGGCUCGAUACUGACGCUGAGGUGCGAAAGUGUGGGGAGCAAACAGGAUUAGAUACCCUGGUAGUCCCACACCGUAAAACGAUGAAUGCCCAGUCGUCGGGUAGCAUGCUAUUCGGUGACACACCUAACGGAUUAAGCAUUCCGCCUGGGGAGUACGGUCGCAAGAUUAAAA
rnacentral:rRNA from 1 species